ACAGGACUCUAAGAAAUGGUCGUAUAAUCUUGAAUUCUUCUUGGUUCUUGAAAAGUAAUUUUGAGACUACAGUUUUUCUCUACACAGCAAGAAAAAUCUAUAGAUACAUUAUAUAUAAAGGCAUUUCCUUCGACUCAACUAAAACCCUAACUAACUAAACUAACUCAAGUCUUGUGUACUGUUUUUAUCUCUGAAUUCUGAAGUUAAAACCACUUAUAUAUACGCAAUGCGUGGAGCGUUGGGUCUAUCUAUUUUAGAGUUUACAGGUUUUGAUCAGUGGAAAUUCUGAAGCAUAUUUUGCAUUUCUUUGAAGCUGUGCAUGCCAUAGAUGAUUGCAUAUAUCAGUAUAUAUAUUUUAUAGAUAUACUGUUAACCCAUUUAUAAAAAAAAUUAUCUUGCAAAAUGCUGUACUCAAU
rnacentral:lncRNA from 1 species